rnacentral:rRNA from 1 species
GACGUAGGUGGCGAACGUUAUCCGGAAUUAUUGGGCGUAAGGGUGCGUAGGCGGCAUGAUAAGUUAUUGGCGGCAAAUCGAGGCUCAACCUCGUGGAAACUGAUAAUACUGUCUUGCUUGAGUGCAGAAGAGGUUAACGGAACUCCAUGUGGAGCGGUAAAAUGUGUAGAUAUAUGGAAGAACAUCAAUAACGGCGAAGGCAGUUAACUAUUCUGUUACUGACGUUGAGGCACGAAAGCGUGGGGAGCAAAAAGG